GAUGAAGAACGUAGCGAAAUGCGAUAAGGAGUGUGAAUUGCAGAAUUCAGUGAAUCAUCGAAUCUUUGAACGCACAUUGCGCCCCUUGGUAUUCCAUGGGGCAUGCCUGUUCGAGCGUCAUUUGUACCUUCAAGCUUUGCUUGGUGUUGGGUGUUUGUCUCGCCUUUGCGUGUAGACUCGCCUUAAAAUAAUUGGCAGCCGGCGUAUUGAUUUCGGAGCGCAGUACAUCUCGCGCUUUGCACUCAUAACGACAGCGUCCAAAAGUACAUUUUACACUCUUGACCUCGGAUCAGGUAGGGAUACCCGCUGAACUUAAGCAUAUCAAUAAGCGGAGGA
rnacentral:misc_RNA from 1 species